rnacentral:tRNA from 2 species
GGGGACAUGGACCGAGUGGUAAGGCGCCGGAUUGCAACCCCGGCUCGCGAAAGCGUAUCGUCGGUUCGAUCCCGACUGUCCCCUCCA